GUUCAUCAUCCAUUCACUACGGAUCGUCCGGCACGUACCUGCCGGUGAAGGAGUAAUAC
rfam:Leifsonia sp. Root112D2 contig_1, whole genome shotgun sequence.